rnacentral:lncRNA from 1 species
CAGGAAGAGGGACGGAGACGCAACUGCGAGUAACUGAGGGAUCGACUCCUAGUUCCCGCGUUCACGUGGAAUGACACGGGACGCACAAUAGGUGCUUUCUCAGGAAAUGCGGAGUUUUACGGCGUUCUUGCCGUGGCCACAAGAAAGGUGCAUAGCUGAAUAGUUGGCGACAAAGUUUCUAAAGGGCUUGUGCGUUCGCAAUGGAUUCGCUGAGGCGACUCACUCGGCAGACGCAGUGAGAGUUGUGCUGUACUUUUUCAUAGAGAUGCUCUCUGCACGUGUAUUCUGAAGCAACGUUGCUUCGGGGUGAGGGUAUCCCACCACAAAAUCCUGGAUUCCAUCGCUCUGUUAGAAUCCACAUGUAGAAAACAGGCGCUCUGAGUCAUGAAUUUUUCAGGGGAUGACGGCUGCGUCCUCGCAUCGGACUAACCGCCUCCCACCGAAGACACACAACUCCUUCGCCAAUGCCCUGGGAAGGAAACAGUUGGAAUUGAGAGAAAAUUGGUGUGCAAUGGCCUGGAGGGAGACCCCUCGUCCCUCUGGAACUUCAAUCUAAUAUCCAAACUCAGAUGAGUACUCCUUCCAAGAUGAGUACUCCUUCCAAGAUGAGAAGACGAGGGCAGUGAUGCUGUAACAGGACUUCAUAGAGCAGGUUUGAUCGAGAGGACGUUCGUCGUGGUCCUUCCUGGAGAGCACGGCUUUUAGAACACACAAUAUACCGGAACGCGAAGGGUUAAGUCAUCGGGUUACUAGCCACGGUCAGAAGCUGUCAUACUCAGGGCGUGUGUGUAACAGGUACUCCAUUUAGCCAACCGAUUAAUCGGAAAGGAAAGCUGGUUGGGUGUCCACAACUUCGAAGAGAAAACCGUGAAGGUUUGGGCGGGCCCGCGCUCUCGGGAACGGCGUGUUCUGCACGGCAUCAAACAUUGUGGAAGUUUCGUGGCCGAAAAACUGAGACCCUCUUAGGAUUUGAUUUCCCAUUUGUUACCCGUCACACGGCUUUUUCGUCUUGUUUAACGUUUCUUCAAGUACCACCAGUCUUCCGAAGGAUCGUGGGCACACUGCUCUUUAUUUGGUCAACAUCCGUAAAUGUAUGAGUUUCGCUGAACGUAGAUCCUCGCCGUGCCAAUAAGGGUGAGCGUCGCAGGAAUUCCCCUUUUAUAUCGACGUGUCCAGGUCUGCCCAAUUCGGGACCACUGACGCUUCCGUCUUUCAUGCCUAUCCCGACGUAUUUAGCCUUUUGGAACUGGCGAACCACCCAACAAUUUUGCAUAGCUACACGUACGCGGUUGUCCAUUCAUCGAUCCAUCGGUAUGGCAUAUCAGCGCUUGCCGCAAAAGCUGUCAUCGCCUCAGUAGAGAGUGUGCCAUUCUGCCGGGCUUCGCAGAACGGCUUUGGCCUACUCUCAGUCCCCAUCGUGUGCAGUCCUGUGUGAAACGUGUUGUUUAAUGUGCAUCUUGGGGUCCAGCGUACAGAAGUUGUGAGACCAUGAAUCUCCGCC